rnacentral:tRNA from 1 species
GUCAGUGUGGCCGAGUGGUUAAGGCGUUUGACUCGAAAUCAAAUGGGUUCGCCCGCACAGGUUCGAAUCCUGUCGCUGACG